rnacentral:rRNA from 1 species
ACGUACACUCCUGCGGGAGGCAGCAGUGGGGAAUCUUGCGCAAUGGGCGAAAGCCUGACGCAGCCAUGCCGCGUGAAUGAUGAAGGUCUUAGGAUUGUAAAAUUCUUUCACCGGGGACGAUAAUGACGGUACCCGGAGAAGAAGCCCUGGCUAACUUCGUGCCAGCAGCCGCGGUAAUACGAAGGGGGCUAGCGUUGCUCGGAAUUACUGGGCGUAAAGGGAGCGUAGGCGGACAUUUAAGUCAGGGGUGAAAUCCCGGGGCUCAACCUCGGAAUUGCCUUUGAUACUGGGUGUCUUGAGUAUGAGAGAGGUGUGUGGAACUCCGAGUGUAGAGGUGAAAUUCGUAGAUAUUCGGGAGAACACCAGUGGCGAAGGCGACACACUGGCUCAUUACUGACGCUGAGGCUCGAAAGCGUGGGGAGCAAACAGGAUUAGAAACCCCUGUAGUCCCAUGA